rnacentral:lncRNA from 1 species
AUGGAUCUGACUGGUCUCCCCGGAGCCUCCUCCCUUCCUUGCCUUCUUUUGACCAUUUUUCUUAAACUGGCAUCGGUCAGUCACGGCUUCCUCGAUGCGAAUGUACUUCUAUUCACGCUCUAAAAAUUCGACAUAGAUCUGAGGAAGCAUCUUAUCCAAAGAGUAGGUGAACUUAGAGUUUUGGAGUCACUGCUUCAUCACCACAAUAGCCGUCGCC